rnacentral:rRNA from 1 species
GAUGAACGCUGGCGGCGUGCCUAAUACAUGCAAGUCGAGCGAACGGACGAGAAGCUUGCUUUUCUGAUGUUAGCGGCGGACGGGUGAGUAACACGUGGAUAACCUACCUAUAAGACUGGGAUAACUUCGGGAAACCGGAGCUAAUACCGGAUAAUAUUUUGAACCGCAUGGUUCAAAAGUGAAAGACGGUCUUGCUGUCACUUAUAGAUGGAUCCGCGCUGCAUUAGCUAGUUGGUAAGGUAACGGCUUACCAAGGCAACGAUGCAUAGCCGACCUGAGAGGGGGAUCGGCCACACUGGAACUGAGACACGGUCCAGACUCCGACGGGAGGCAGCAGUAGGGAAUCUUCCGCAAUGGGCGAAAGCCUGACGGAGCAACGCCGCGUGAGUGAUGAAGGUCUUCGGAUCGUAAAACUCUGUUAUUAGGGAAGAACAUAUGUGUAAGUAACUGUGCACAUCUUGACGGUACCUAAUCAGAAAGCCACGGCUAACUACGUG